rnacentral:rRNA from 1 species
GGCUCAGAUUGAACGCUGGCGGUAUGCUUAACACAUGCAGGUCGAACGGUAACAGGCCUUCGGGCACUGACGAGUGGCGGACGGGUGAGUAACGCGUAGGAAUCUGCCUCAUAGUGGGGGACAACGUGGGGAAACCCACGCUAAUACCGCAUACGCCCUACGGGGGAAAGCGGGGGAUCUUCGGACCUCGCGCUAUGAGAUGAGCCUGCGUUAGAUUAGCUAGUUAGUAGGGUAAAGGCCUACCAAGGCGACGAUCUAUAGCUGGUCUGAGAGGACGAUCAGCCACACUGGGACUGAGACACGGCCCAGACUCCUACGGAGGCAGCAGUGGGGAAUAUUGGACAAUGGCGAAAGCCUGAUCCAGCAAUACCGCGUGUGUGAAGAAGGCCUUAGGGUUGUAAAGCACUUUCAAUUGGGAGGAAAACCUGCCGGUCAAUACCCGGUGGCUUGACAUUACCUUUAGAAGAAGCACCGGCUAACUCCGUGCCAGCAGCCGCGGUAAUACGGAGGGUGCGAGCGUUAAUCGGAAUUACUGGGCGUAAAGCGUGCGUAGGCGGUUCGUUAAGUCAGAUGUGAAAGCCCUGGGCUCAACCUGGGAACUGCAUUUGAAACUGCGGACUAGAGUUUAGUAGAGGGGAGUGGAAUUUCAGGUGUAGCGGUGAAAUGCGUAGAUAUCUGAAGGAACACCAGUGGCGAAGGCGACUCCCUGGACUAGAACUGACGCUGAGGUACGAAAGCGUGGGUAGCAAACAGGAUUAGAUACCCUGGUAGUCCACGCCGUAAACGAUGUCGACUAGCCGUUGGCCCUUUUUACAGGGUUAGUGGCGCAGCUAACGCAUUAAGUCGACCGCCUGGGGAGUACGGCCGCAAGGUUAAAACUCAAAUGAAUUGACGGGGGCCCGCACAAGCGGUGGAGCAUGUGGUUUAAUUCGAUGCAACGCGAAGAACCUUACCUACCCUUAACAUCCAGAGAAUCUGUUAGAGAUAGUAGAGUGCCUUCGGGAGCUCUGAGACAGGUGCUGCAUGGCUGUCGUCAGCUCGUGUCGUGAGAUGUUGGGUUAAGUCCCGUAACGAGCGCAACCCUUGUCCUUAGUUGCCAGCGAGUAAUGUCGGGAACUCUAGGGAGACUGCCGGUGAUAAACCGGAGGAAGGUGGGGACGACGUCAAGUCAUCAUGGCCCUUAUGGGUAGGGCUACACACGUGCUACAAUGGCCGGUACAGAGGGCUGCGAACUUGCGAGAGUAAGCAAAUCCCAGAAAGCCGGUCCUAGUCCGGAUUGGAGUCUGCAACUCGACUCCAUGAAGUCGGAAUCGCUAGUAAUCGCGAAUCAGAAUGUCGCGGUGAAUACGUUCCCGGGCCUUGUACACACCGCCCGUCACACCAUGGGAGUGGGUUGCAAAAGAAGUGGGUAGUCUAACCUUCGGGAGGGCGCUCACCACUUUGUGAUUCAUGACUGGGGUGAAGUCAUAACAAGGUA